AGGAUGAACGCUGGCGGCGUGCUUAACACAUGCAAGUCGAACGGUGAAAGAGGAGCUUGCUCCUCUGGAUCAGUGGCGAACGGGUGAGUAACACGUGAGUAACCUGCCCUUGACUCUGGGAUAAGCACUGGAAACGGUGUCUAAUACCGGAUACGAGCUUCAGCCGCAUGGCUAGGAGCUGGAAAGAAUUUCGGUCAAGGAUGGACUCGCGGCCUAUCAGCUAGUUGGUGAGGUAACGCCACCAAGGCGACGACGGGUAGCCGGCCUGAGAGGGUGACCGGCCAACACGUGGACUGAGACACGGCCCAGACUCCGUACGGGAGGCAGGCAGGUGGGAAUAUGCACAAGUGGG
rnacentral:rRNA from 1 species